UACGUAGGGGGCAAGCGUUGUCCGGAAUCAUUGGGCGUAAAGAGCGUGUAGGCGGUUCGGUAAGUCUGCUGUGAAAGUCGGGGGCUCAACCCUCGAAUGCCGGUGGAUACUGUCGGGCUAGAGUACGGAAGAGGCGAGUGGAAUUCCUGGUGUAGCGGUGAAAUGCGCAGAUAUCAGGAGGAACACCAAUUGCGAAGGCAGCUCGCUGGGACGUAACUGACGCUGAGACGCGAAAGCGUGGGGAGCAAACAGG
rnacentral:rRNA from 1 species